rnacentral:lncRNA from 1 species
AGCAAGAAGAAGAUGUGAGACCCACGAGACAGAGAAUCUAAACCCAGAGAUGGGCAAAGGCAGUUCAGGGAUGACAGCCAAAGGAGGUCUCAAGAUGGCAGCUGCCAGUUAUGGAUAACAACAUAUGACUUGGAAAAAUUAACAUGUGUAAAUGCUACAAACAAUACCUCAAAAGUGUUACUCGCUGAAGACAGAGACCAGGAGUGUAGUGAAAGAUAGUUGGCAGUCAUCCAUAAUCUCAGGAGAAGACAGCAAACUGGCCAAAAAGCAAAAGCAGAUGGAGGGAGACUGGAGAGCAGAAUCAGUGAAGGAGUCGUGAUGAUGCUGCGCUGCUGGCUUGAGUGGUUCCAGCCAAGGAGUGCAGGUGGCCUCUAGAGGGUGGGAAAAGCAAGUUAAACGGAUUCUCCUCUAGAGCUUCCAGAAGGAACCAGCUCUGCUGACACCUUAAUUUUAGCCCAUAGGACCCAUAAAGGAAGUAAUCGUUCUUGCACACUGGGCUUGGGGGCUGAAAUUCCUACUCUCUACACACCAAUGUUUUCACUUCUGCUUCAGGGGAGGGCAUCCACUGUGGGCCACAUGCUUUAUACAUGCUUGUUCUAGUUCAUCUUCACAACCCAAUGAGGUCAU